rnacentral:rRNA from 1 species
CACGUAGGGCGCAAGCGUUGUCCGGAAUUAUUGGGCGUAAAGAGCUCGUAGGCGGCUUGUCGCGUCGACUGUGAAAUCCCGCGGCUCAACUGCGGGUCUGCAGUCGAUACGGGCAGGCUAGAGUUCGGUAGGGGAGACUGGAAUUCCUGGUGUAGCGGUGAAAUGCGCAGAUAUCAGGAGGAACACCGAUGGCGAAGGCAGGUCUCUGGGCCGAUACUGACGCUGAGGAGCGAAAGCGUGGGGAGCGAACAGG